rnacentral:rRNA from 1 species
UGGACGAAGUCUGACGGAGCACGCCGCGUGAGUGAUGAAGGUUUUCGGAUCGUAAAGCUCUGUUGUUAGGGAAGAACAAGUGCGAGAGUAACUGCUCGCACCUUGACGGUACCUAACCAGAAAGCCACGGCUAACUACGUGCCAGCAGCCGCGGUAAUACGUAGGUGGCAAGCGUUGUCCGGAAUUAUUGGGCGUAAAGGGCUCGCAGGCGGUUUCUUAAGUCUGAUGUGAAAGCCCCCGGCUCAACCGGGGAGGGUCAUUGGAAACUGGGAAACUUGAGUGCAGAAGAGGAGAGUGGAAUUCCACGUGUAGCGGUGAAAUGCGUAGAGAUGUGGAGGAACACCAGUGGCGAAGGCGACUCUCUGGUCUGUAACUGACGCUGAGGAGCGAAAGCGUGGGGAGCGAACAGGAUUAGAUACCCUGGUAGUCCACGCCGUAAACGAUGAGUGCUAAGUGUUAGGGGGUUUCCGCCCCUUAGUGCUGCAGCUAACGCAUUAAGCACUCCGCCUGGGGAGUACGGUCGCAAGACUGAAACUCAAAGGAAUUGACGGGGGCCCGCACAAGCGGUGGAGCAUGUGGUUUAAUUCGAAGCAACGCGAAGAACCUUACCAGGUCUUGACAUCCUCUGACAACCCUAGAGAUAGGGCUUUCCCUUCGGGGACAGAGUGACAGGUGGUGCAUGGUUGUCGUCAGCUCGUGUCGUGAGAUGUUGGGUUAAGUCCCGCAACGAGCGCAACCCUUGAUCUUAGUUGCCAGCAUUCAGUUGGGCACUCUAAGGUGACUGCCGGUGACAAACCGGAGGAAGGUGGGGAUGACGUCAAA